rnacentral:rRNA from 1 species
GGAAUAUUGGACAAUGGGGGGAACCCUGAUCCAGCGACGACGCGUGAGUGAAGAAGUAUUUCGGUAUGUAAAGCUCUAUCAGCAGGGAAGAAAGAAAUGACGGUACGUGAGUAAGAAGCCCCGGCUAACUACGUGCCAGCAGCCGCGGUAAUACGUAGGGGGCAAGCGUUAUCCGGAUUUACUGGGUGUAAAGGGAGCGUAGACGGCAUGGCAAGUCUGAAGUGAAAGCCCGGGGCUCAACCGCGGGACUGCUUUGGAAACUGUUAAGCUGGGGUGCAGGAGAGGUAAGCGGAAUUCCUAGUGUAGCGGUGAAAUGCGUAGAUAUUAGGAGAAACACCAGUGGCAAAGGCGGCUUACUGGACUGUAACUGACGUUGAGGCUCAAAAGCGUGGGGAGCAAAC